rnacentral:rRNA from 1 species
UAGGGAAUCUUCCACAAUGGACGCAAGUCUGAUGGAGCAACGCCGCGUGAGUGAAGAAGGUUUUCGGAUCGUAAAGCUCUGUUGUUGGUGAAGAAGGAUAGAGGCAGUAACUGGUCUUUAUUUGACGGUAAUCAACCAGAAAGUCACGGCUAACUACGUGCUAG